rnacentral:misc_RNA from 1 species
GCCUCCUCGUAGCUUUUCAAUAAUAGUAAUAAUUUGAGGAAACUCCCACUUCUGCAGCUCAUCACUCUCCUGCUGCACUACUGCAUUAUUCGUUAGGGUUUUGGAAAGUCACUUUCUUUUUUUUUUUAAUUCUUUUUUAAUUGACAUGUCAUCAGAUUCUUCCCAACCUGUUCGUCCAUCAGAUCCGAACCCAAUCACCGCCCACAAUUCCCUAGAUGAAGCGGCCACCACCGCAUGUUGCUCCUCUUCCUCCACCAUCACCACUUCUUCACCGCCUGUUGAUAUUCCUCUCUCUUGGCCUCCCGAUGCCGAGCUCAGUUUCGAUUGGAUUCGACAUUUCUCUUCUGCCUUGGACUGGUCUUCUAGAAAUCUCCCUCCCUCAGAUUUUCCUUCCGUCUUGCCUGUUUCCGUCUUUGACUCUCUCGUCCUCACCGCUUCCAAGAUCCUUCAUAAGGAGUCCAAUUGCGUCACAAUUGACGAUUGUCUCUCUCUUCCUG